rnacentral:rRNA from 1 species
UACGUAGGUGGCAAGCGUUGUCCGGAAUUAUUGGGCGUAAAGCGCGCGCAGGCGGUCCUUUAAGUCUGAUGUGAAAGCCCACGGCUCAACCGUGGAGGGUCAUUGGAAACUGGGGGACUUGAGUACAGAAGAGAAGAGUGGAAUUCCACGUGUAGCGGUGAAAUGCGUAGAGAUGUGGAGGAACACCAGUGGCGAAGGCGACUCUUUGGUCUGUAACUGACGCUGAGGCGCGAAAGCGUAGGGAGCAAACAGG